CCCACCUCCCAGUGCAGCGGGUGCAGGCAGUACGAGGCCACCCAGGAUCCCAGAACCUCUGGGUCCCAGCUGAGAGCAUGGCUGGGACGAGCAGGAUGCUCCUAAAGGUGCCCUCUUCUGAGUACACACCUUGUGAGCAGCUUGUGCAAUUGCCUGGCCGACACUCUGAGGCCAUCUUGUCCACACCACCACCAUCCCCCGGCUUCUCCGGGCGCCUGCCCCGUGCCCGCAGGCAGCACCAAAUCCAGGAGCACAGGUAG